rnacentral:rRNA from 1 species
GGGAAUAUUGGACAAUUGGCGAAAGCCUGAUCCAGGAAUGCCGCGUGGGUGAAGAAGGUCUUCGGAUUGUAAAGCCCUUUCGGCGGGGACGAUGAUGACGGUACCCGCAGAAGAAGCUCCGGCUAACUUCGUGCCAGCAGCCGCGGUAAUACGAAGGGGGCUAGCGUUGCUCGGAAUGACUGGGCGUAAAGGGCGCGUAGGCGGUUCGUACAGUCAGAUGUGAAAUUCCUGGGCUUAACCUGGGGGCUGCAUUUGAUACGUGCGGGCUUGAGUGGGAAAGAGGGUCGUGGAAUUCCCAGUGUAGAGGUGAAAUUCGUAGAUAUUGGGAAGAACACCGGUGGCGAAGGCGGCGACCUGGUUCAUGACUGACGCUGAGGCGCGAAAGCGUGGGGAGCAAACA